AAAAUCCACUGGAUAAAGAAGAUAAUAUUGUUGAGUUGACAGGAGAAAGAAACAGAAUACAUAUCCCUACAUCGCCAGUUUCUGAUCCUAAAGGGGCUGUUGAAGAAAAAGAAG